GGCGCUAUAGCCAAGUGGUUACGGCGACAGAUUCGAACGCUCGAUCAUCUGUUCCUCUUUGAGGGCGCAGGUUCAAAUCCUGCUGGCGUCG
rnacentral:tRNA from 1 species